GACGAACGCUGGCGGCGUGCCUAAUACAUGCAAGUCGAGCGAAUCUCAGGGAGCUUGCUCCCUGAGAUUAGCGGCGGACGGGUGAGUAACACGUGGGUAACCUGCCUGUAAGACUGGGAUAACUUCGGGAAACCCGAGCUAAUACCGUAUACUUUCUUUUCUCGCAUGAGGGAAGAUGGAAAGAUGGUUCUGCUAUCACUUACAGAUGGACCCGCGGCGCAUUAGCUAGUUGGUGAGGUAACGGCUCACCAAGGCAACGAUGCGUAGCCGACCUGAGAGGGUGAUCGGCCACACUGGGACUGAGACACGGCCCAGACUCCUACGGGAGGCAGCAGUAGGGAAUCUUCCGCAAUGGACGAAAGUCUGACGGAGCAACGCCGCGUGAGCGAAGAAGGCCUUCGGGUCGUAAAGCUCUGUUGUUAGGGAAGAACAAGUACGAGAGUAACUGCUCGUACCUUGACGGUACCUAACCAGAAAGCCACGGCUAACUACGUGCCAGCCGCCGCGGUAAGAC
rnacentral:rRNA from 1 species